rnacentral:misc_RNA from 1 species
GUUGCGGCCGACGUUCAAACGUUACUUCUAGACGGCAAGUAGAAGUACACGGUUUACGUUUUAACUGCAAGAAAAAUCGUUGCGGCGGACGUUUACAACAUCACGUGACUCAAUGAACGUCGCGCAUUGACCCACGGGAAAUUUGUUGAAAAAAAUGGCAGAACCGUUUGACAACGAAUUUCCCGAGCGAAGCGUCGUGUUUCCUUGCGUUACAAACAAUAGGAAAGUUCCAAUGCGUUUUUCCUGUAAUCAUGAUAUACUCCUGUUGAGAGAAGUAGUUGCUGUAAAUCCGUAUGCGUAUGAAAAUCCGAAAAGUGCUUGGAAAACUAUAUCGGAAAAUUUAUGGGCAUAUUACACCGUCGACGGUAGAAGCUGCCGGGAAAGAACAACUUUACUUCUACAGUAUUAUGACAAGGAUGUUAUGGAGGAUUGCAGGCAGUUUUUCGAAGCAAAGACCGAUGCACUGAGGACCCAUUGCGCUAUUCACAGGGAAGUACUCGCAUCAAAAUAUCUGCGUCCUACAUUGAAUCAAGACUUAGAAUAUGUAGUAAACUUUAUAAAAACCCGGCCGUUGAAGGUAAGAUUUUUCAAAAAACUGUGUGAAGAUGUGGGAUCCGAGUACACGUCUUUGUUGUACUACAGCAGCCGAGAGUAUAAAACAUUACCACGAGCGAGCGAUGGCUCUCCGAGGUAAUGUUUUCUCUCGUACGUUUGAACUGCGACAGGAAAUUUAUAUUAUUCUUAAAGAGGAAGACCACAAGUAUGCCGAAAAUUUUGAUUGAAGAUUUUUUUGAUAAAACUAGCAUACUUAUGUGAUACUUUUGAAAAGCUGAAUGCUCUGAAUCUCUCCCUGUAGAGAAACGACACGCACCUUUUUAAAGUCGAUUGAGAAAACUUCGGCUCUUAUAAAAAAAAUUAAAACUAUGGAAAAGAAAAAUAAAGGAAGACGGAGGAAAGGAUGUUUCCCUUUUGUCUUUGUCAUGGACAUCAUAUGGAGUUUAUGUUUCCCACUCUGGAUGUUUUCCUCGUAAACAAUUCCAUAUGUUCUGUUGUGUUUAUUUUUGGUCUCCAGAACUUCGGAAAAUUGGUCAGUUGGAAGAAGUGAAGCUGCAAUUUUGUCCUUUCCGUGGAAUAAAAUUUUAUGUACGCUUACUGGCAUCGGCGUACCAGUUAUACCCUCGGAUAUAAUCAAAUUUCCUCAUGUAUGCAUCAAAUUUAUCCGCAUUUAUGGCAAAGGCAUAAGCUAGACAUUCUAAAAUACAAUGGAAAUAAAAUAAUUUUGUGAGCUGCGCAUUAAUGCGAGUAAUUUCGGCGGAUGUUUUGGCAUUUCGGAAAAAUUUGCGAGCUAUAUUUCCAUCGUUUAUAUUUCCUGAUAUCUAUUUCGUUAAAUCUACCAAAAGCCAUAAUUCCUCGCACAGCUUGUAUUGUAUUUGCUUUUUCCUUUCUUCAACCUUACAUCUAAAUUCUGGGGCUUGUGUACGAUUGUGUAUGGGCGGGUGGAAAGAUUUGCGCCAACAAUCAUUGCGAGAAUUCGAUUUGUAGACAGGCAUACGGGCAUCGUUGCGCGGGACAAAAAUUUUCCACUCUUCUUUAUCGUAAUACCCCGCGAGACAGCUCUUUUGACAAUAGCAGCAGAGUCCCUUCCUCCAGCGCGGCGUAGACGAAUUUCUGUUGCAGUCGCUAACUCUUCGUUAUUCCUGUCUUCAAUUAAAUGUUUUACCUUUCGUUUCUUGGUCUUCGGACAGCAGUCUUGAAAUACCUUUGGAGGUCUUCCACGCGGAGUACCAGGUAAAGCCUUCAUCACUACAUUAGGCACCGUCGAGAAUUGUCUAAGACACGAGGAAUUUACCACUAGAAAUUGCUCGCGAUACCGUCUGCAUUUCUUCCAUCUUUAAUUUGGAAACAAUAAUUACUUAUUGCUUUCUCUGCACUUUUCUCAGCCGCAUCCGGCAAUGAAGAGACGUUACAUUUUUGUAGAACGAAAGCGUACACGGCCUCCAAUCUUUCACGUUGGCUACUUGCGAACCAAUGUCGAAAAGUUCCUCUCGUGAAAAUUAUAAUUCUGCAGUAGAGGCCAAUUUUUGGCUAAAACUUUUUUCACUUUUUAUUAGCAGAAGGAUCGGGCUUUAAGUUACCAGAAAUACGGAGUCCGAAACCAAAUCUUUUGUUGAAUAUUGAAUUCUACGACAGUGAUCCGCGAUGCGGAAGCGUUAUUUAGAAACAGACUACGACACAAAGCUGAAAACAAAUACGAGGAUCGGCUUUCAAAGUCGGCGUACCGACAGGUACGGUACAUGCGAAAGGUUCAAUCGUGCACUCGGGUAGGCAGAUAACACACUUUUUCGUCGAGUCACGGGUAACUUCCAAAAGAAGGUCCCGCUAGUUUUGUGAAAUUGAACACCGCGCCGAUGUAAAACAUGGUGAAAUCCCUAAUCGAUAGUCCAACUUCUUUAAGCAGGAAUCGCAUCUAUUUUGAUAGGAGACCGGCAGCGGCGUAACCUAUGGGGCCGAGAGAUACUUUUUACGUUGUCGAGAUGAGCGUUGCCAGUGUUUUAGGGCGGUUUUGUUCGGUACUGUACGUCGUCUUCUAACGUUCGGAAAGAAUAGGAGUCAGGGCCAGUUAAUGGGAUUUGCAGCGGUACGUACGCCGUGUUUGACGUCGGGCCGGUAGUAG